GGGGGUAUAGCUCGGGGUAGAGCAUUUGACUGCAGAUCAAGUGGUCCCCAGGCUCAAAUCUGGUGUGCCCCCU
rnacentral:tRNA from 1 species